rnacentral:rRNA from 1 species
CAAUAGCGUAUAUUUAAGUUGUUGCAGUUAAAAAGCUCGUAGUUGGAUUUCGGUUAAGAGCGACCGGUCCGCCGUUUGGUGUGCACUGGUUGGUUUUAACUUCCUGUAGAGGACGUGCUCUGGGUUUAACGACCUGGACUCGGAGUCUACGUGGUUACUUUGAAAAAAUUAGAGUGUUCAAAGCGGGCUUACGCUUGAAUAUUUCAGCAUGGAAUAACACUAUAGGACUCCUGUCCUAUUUCGUUGGUCUCGGGACGGGAGUAAUGAUUAAGAGGAACAGUUGGGGGCAUUCGUAUUUCAUUGUCAGAGGUGAAAUUCUUGGAUUUAUGAAAGACGAACUUCUGCGAAAGCAUUUGCCAAGGAUGUCUNCAUUAA